UCCUAACAGAUACAAUAGGGUUCCACCAGCUUCGCUGCUUGGACCCCUAAUUACCAGGUUGAAACUAGAGACCAUGAGUAACUAUGCCAGAAAGAAUGACCAUGAUUCGUCCAUAGAUGGCGCUAUAGUAACCGAUUCAAAAAGCAAAUUUCAAAAUGCUGGCAUUUCCACCCCUUUUGCUGAAAAUUUAUGAAACCAGGUGUACUAGUGUCAUUUCUCAUGAGGAACACAUAUGCCUCAAGAACCCAUAAAGUCCGCCAUGAUGGAUUUUUCUGCAGAUUGAAAAUUUGACAAAACCUAUAAAAAGUUUCUUCUAAUAAACCGUAAGUCCGAUUGGUCCGGAAUUGGCCAUGCACGUGUAUGGUGCAUGUCUCCCUAUAGGGUGUUAACAGCUAAGAGAUCCUUUCCAAGAUGAUGGAGAAACUGGUAUUUUUAAUAAAACAUAAUUUGGCCACAAAUUUCAAAUGCUUAUAACUUUUUACAACAAUAAUCUAGGGACUUGAAAUGGACUGGGCAUGAAGAGGGCCUUCUCUCAUUAUCAUGACAAAGCUAGAUAACAUGGCUUAAAAUGAUCCACGUUAGAAGUGUUUUAUCGGCGUUUUUACUGUCUGGUUAGCUUGCUACGAUGACACGUGACUAGAUGACUCGCUUGCAAUAACGCAUUGGCUAUUGACACAGCAUCAUAUAGCUAGUAGCUAAUAUCAUUAUCUCAGAUAAAAAAAAACAAAUGUGUGAUGCAUUCAAUCACCAUUUUAUUUUGGCUGGUUAUUUAUUUGAGAAUACAGCGAUGUCCUCUGGAAAUGUAGAUCCUACGCUGCCUAUGUGCUGACUGCCACUUCAUAAAGGCUUGCUAGCCAGCUAGCUUGCUAAAGUGAACCAAAUAUGUUAGCUAGCUCGCUCGCUUGAUAAUGAGGAUUGAUAAACAUAGUGGUCAUAUAAAUGCUUUUAAUUAAAAACUUUCUCUAAAUAUACAUACCUUUAUUGUGGCAAUCGAAUCUGUGCAGACAAGUCUUGCAGUGGAGAAUAUUGGAUGAGGCACGAGUGACAGACGUCUUAUUACAGAAGUAGCACGUCAGCUGCUGCAGUUCACACUUGUAUUAGAGCUCCCUCUACUGGAUAAUUCUAGUAAAUAGCAAUUACAACGUUCGAAAAAUCGGGACACAUCGGCUGCAUAACUGCCGAUUCCGAUGUCGUCAAAAAGGUCAAAUAAUGGCCGAUAUAUCGGCCAAACCGAUAUAUCGGUCUGGCUCUACUGUCAAGAUUAAUUUGCAUGUAUUUGCAUCCAUAUCAGCAAAACCAUGUAGGAAUUGCAGCCUUUUUAGACAUAUCCCCCCAUUUUAGAGAAUCAAGAGUAAUUGGACAAAUGAACAUAACCUUAAAGUUGUUAUAUUUACUAUUUGCUUGCAAAUCUUUUGCAUUUGAUGACUGCCUGAAGUCUGUGACCCACCCAAUGCCGGGUACCUUACUUGGUGAUGCUCAUCCAGGCCCGUACUGCAUUCACCUUUACCAGUUCAAAUCCAAUGUGCAAGAGUACAGAGUCAACACAACACCAAGGUUGUCGCUGUCCAAAUACUUACUGACUGCCCUGCAAAUCUUUGUGUACAUGCACAUACAUGUACUGGGGAAACAUCUAACAUUAUAUGAAUAUCAAGUAAGAACAGCUCUUCAAGAAGGAAAGCUUUUGAGGAAUGAAGGAGAUAGAAAUAUGCUUCAUACACUGCUGUGUUCCACAACUUCUCAUGAAGGCUCAAUGGAUGUUGAGAUCUGGUGAUUGUGGAGGCCAUGGAAAACAUUUUACUUCAUCUUGCCCCCUUUAGAUAACCUGUCUUUUUCUCUUUCCUUCUUUUGAAUUUAUUUUUGGGUAAUGUUAUCACUGUGUAAUGAUUAUCUAUCUAGCGGUGGUUUCUUUAGUUACAAUGAUUAUUGUUAGGUUAAUAUACUUAUUGAUUAUAAA